UAUCUCCUGGGAUGUUCGCCAGCUAAGCGUCGUCCUUGAGCCGUUAGAGAAAUAACAGGAGAUUCCGGCGUCGGCGUCGGUGUGCAAGCCCAACGACCGCUUUGCGGUGUCCGUGGGACGCCUUAGAUGCCGCCCGGGUCCCCGCCUUGAGCCUAGACGGUUCAGGGCCAGCCUGGCAGCGGCAUUUCCGGGAGACAA
rnacentral:other from 1 species